AGAGUUUGAUCCUGGCUCAGAACGAACGCUGGCGGCGUGCCUAACACAUGCAAGUCGAACGGRRUURAGGGGCUUGCUCCUYAAUUUAGUGGCGCACGGGUGAGUAACGCGUAGAUAAUCUGCCUGAUGAUCUGGGAUAACACUUCGAAAGGGGUGCUAAUACCGGAUAAGCCCACGGAGUCUUUGGAUUYUGCGGGAAAAGGGGGGGACCWUYKGGCCUUCUGUCAUCAGAUGAGUCUGCGUACCAUUAGCUAGUUGGUAGGGUAAUGGCCUACCAAGGCUACGAUGGUUAGCUGGUYUGAGAGRAUGAUCAGCCACACUGGAACUGAGACACGGUCCAGACUCCUACGGGAGGCAGCAGUGGGGAAUUUUGCGCAAUGGGCGAAAGCCUGACGCAGCAACGCCGCGUGAGUGAUGAAGGCUUUCGGGUCGUAAAGCUCUGUCAGAGGGGAAAGAAGUGUAUUGUGGUUAAUACCCAUGGUACUUGACGGUACSCCURAAGGAAGCACSGGCUARSUCCGUGCCAGSAGCCGCGGUAAUACGGGGGGUGCAAGCGUUGUUCGGAAUUAUUGGGCGUAAAGMGCGUGUAGGCGGUUUGUUAAGUCUGUUGUGAAAGCCCUGGGCUCAACCCAGGAAGUGCAYUGGAUACUGGCAGACUUGAAUACGGGAGAGGGUAGUGGAAUUCCURGUGUAGGAGUGAAAUCCGUAGAUAUYAGGAGGAACACCGGUGGCGAAGGCGGCUACCUGGACCGAUAUUGACGCUGAGACGCGAAAGCGUGGGUAGCAAACAGGAUUAGAUACCCUGGUAGUCCACGCCGUAAACGAUGAGWACUAGGUGUUGCGGGUAUUGACCCCUGCAGUGCCGCAGCUAACGCAUUAAGUWCUCCGCCUGGGAAGUACGGUCGCAAGACUAAAACUCAAAGGAAUUGACGG
rnacentral:rRNA from 1 species